rnacentral:lncRNA from 1 species
UCAGUCUUCAGCUUAGAGCUCACAUGCUCCCAUUUCCACACCUUAUAAUUCUCUCCACAUCAACCACCCUUCCUAGUUUCCCUAGAGUCAGUGAGUAGAAUCUACGGGGAAAUCUUAGUAUCAGCCUAGCCAGGACUGCAUGGAAGGAACUGCUUUCCCCCAUGCUUCCUCAGAAGGUCACUGAUUCAUCAUCAUAUAAGACAAUAAAUGUGUUAAAAGGAAUACUGACUCUUCUGGUUUUCUGUUGGUUGGCUGGUUGGUGGGAAUGAACCCACGGCCUCCCACAUCCCUGCGAAGCACUCUACCACUGAGCUAUAUCCCCAGACCACUUUUUCUUUCUUUGCCUUUUUCCUUUCUGUUCUUUUCACAUUUAAAAAAAUAAAAAGGAAGGAAAGGGAAAGAUUUAAGACAUUAUACGUAGAUAAUGAAAUGGUUAACGAGUGGUUCGAUUCUGUUACUCAGGGUCUGUUGGUUGUUGAGUCUAACAAAUGAGUCUUACACAGGGCCUUUUGCCUUAAGAGCAAUGGAUAGUUCUUUAUAGGCUAUCCCCACACACACACCUGCUUUUGAUGCUAAGGAUUAAUUAAGCCCAGGGUCUUGCAUAUGCUGGGCAAAUACUCUGUCACCUCCCCACCCGAUGGUCCCUUUAAAAACCACACGACACCAGCACUUCACUGACUCUCAUGAAGAAAACUCCUGAUAAUUCUGGAAGCAUGGAGUGAUAUGCUGCGUCUGGGAAAGUCUGUGUAGCUCUGACUGUCCCAGAAUUCACAAUGUAGACCAGGCUGGCCUCAAAUUAAGAGACGGCUGCCUCUAUUGCAUCUUGGGCAGUCUGUGUCUUAAGCGCCUGGCUUGGUAACACAGAGGACACUGGCUAAAUAAUAGAACAAAUGCCUAAAAUUCUAAGAUUCCAUCUUAGAGAUGCAAGUGAGGCCUCCUAGGCAGUGCUUGAAAGCGCUUUGAAAAGCAAUCUAGGGAAUAAAGCUUUCAUUUCAAAAUCUAAGGCUAAAUGUUCUCCUUGCAAAUCAUGAACAUUUGAAGUAGUAAAUAUGUUAAUUAGCUUGAUUUUAUUAUUUCAUUAUUUUCUCAAAUCAUAGUAUCUGUAUAAUAAACAUUGUGAAUUUCAAAUAAAUUUUUAAGUUGUGAUUGUAUGUGUCACUGGUGUUCUUAAACCUUUAUUUAAGACCUCCCCAUAAAUGACAGAAUUUCCAAUCUCAAGACGUAUCCAUGUACCAAGCAGCACAAGGUAUUAAUAUUCAGAUUUAGUUGGGACAUCUUCCUGUCUCUAACUUUGAGGUGGCUUGUUUUAAUUCUAAUUCUAAUCUCUUCUAAUUCACAGAGCAGUAAAGAAGCCCUUUCAGAGGUCAAUGCCACUGGAGUGGCCAUGCUUUUCUCUGCUGGGACAUUUCUUUAUGUUGCCACCGUCCAUGUCCUCCCUGAAGUGGGUGGAAUGGGGCACAGCCACAAACCUGAUACCACUGGAGGGAGAGGCCUCAGCCGCCUUGAGGUGGCAGCCCUGGUUCUGGGUUGCCUCAUCCCGCUCAUCCUAUCAAUAGGACACCAGCAUUAACCAUUCAGGUUCCAGCCUCAGUCCACGGCCAUUGCCAUCUGGGAAGAAGAGCAAGUGUGUGACGCUCCUCACUUCCUCAGUGUCUUGUCUCGCCUCGCCCAUCUCCACCCGUGUUCCUAGAGUCCGAGGGAGAUGAGAGUCAAUCGUGGAGAAGUGGAACAGCGUACAGCAGGAACAUCAGAAUUAGACAAAGACUUUGUGUUGUCUUUUAAAGGGACUUUGAUAUAUUGAGUUUUGAUGUUUCUCUUAACCCUAUUCUCAGGGAAGAUGGAAUUUAGUUUUAAAGAAAAGUGGAGAACUUCAUACAGUGAAAUAGUAAUUAUGAAACUGCAGUGUUCUGUAAAGCUAAAGUUUUUCCCCUUAGUUUAGAGGCUCUGCCACUUUACCCAUUGGUUUUUAACAUGGUUCUCACCAUGUAAGACUGGUGCUUUAGCAUCUGUGCCACAUGCCAUGAGAGAAGGUGGGAACACACAUCCCUUAGAUGCUAAAGACGAUGGCAACUAAUUUGAGGUUAGAAUAAGGAAAAUAAGGGCAGGAGACAUAAGCUGAACUGAACCC